rnacentral:tRNA from 1 species
GGGCCCAUAGCUCAGCUGGGAGAGCGCUUCAAUGGCAUUGAAGAGGUCAAGAGUUCGAAUCUCUUUGGGUCCA